UUACUUUGGCAGCACAUAUACUAAAAUUGGAACAAUACAGAGAAGAUUAGCAUGGGCUGUGUGAGAGGAUGAUAUGCAAAUUUGUGAAGCGUUCCAUAUUUUU